AACGCACAUUGCGCCCGCCAGUAUUCUGGCGGGCAUGCCUGUCCGAGCGUCAUUACAACCCUCAGGCCCCCGGGCCUGGUGUUGGGGAUCGGCGGAGCCCCCCGGGGCACACGCCGUCCCCCAAAUUCAGUGGCGGUCUCGCUGCAGCCUCCGUUGCGUAGUAGCUAACACCUCGCAACUGGAACGCGGCGCGGCCAUGCCGUAAAACCCCCCAACUUCUGAAUGUUGACCUCGGAUCAGGUAGGAAUACCCGCUGAACUUAA
rnacentral:misc_RNA from 1 species